rnacentral:rRNA from 1 species
UACAGAGGUCUCAAGCGUUGUUCGGAUUCACUGGGCGUAAAGGGUGCGUAGGUGGUGAGGUAAGUCGGAUGUGAAAUCUCCGGGCUCAACCCGGAAACUGCAUUGGAAACUACCUUGCUUGAGGGUUUGAGGGGGGACUGGAAUUCUCGGUGUAGCAGUGAAAUGCGUAGAUAUCAAGUGGAACACCAGUGGCGAAGGCGAGUCCCUGGACAACUCCUGACACUGAGGCACGAAAGCUAGGGGAGCAAACAGG